GUGCCCACACUGGCAGUACCCAUGCUAAAAUUGCAACCAUACAGAGAUUAGCAUGGCCCCUGUGCAAGGGUGACACAGGGAUUUGAGAAGCACUCACAUUUUUU
ensembl:snRNA U6 U6 spliceosomal RNA